GACGGAGGAGGCGAGCGUUAUCCGGAUUUACUGGGCGUCAAGGGCGCGUAGGCGGCUUGACAGGUCGUGGGUGAAAGCCCCGGGCUCAACCCGGGGAGGUCCCGCGAUACCAUCAGGCUUGAGGAUCGUAGAGGGGGGCGGAAUGUCCGGUGGAGCGGUGGAAUGCGUAGAUAUCGGACGGAACACCCGAGGCGAAGGCGGCCCCCUGGGCGAUACCUGACGCUGAGGCGCGAAAGCGUGGGGAGCAAAGCGGAUUAGAUACCCGCGUAGUCCACGCCCUCAACUCUGAACCCUAGGUAUGGGGGGUACCGACCCCUCCCGUGCCGACGCUUACGCUUUAAGGGUUCCGCCUGGGGACUACGGUCGCAAGACUCAA
rnacentral:rRNA from 1 species